GGCUCAGAUUGAACGCUGGCGGCAUGCCUUACACAUGCAAGUCGAACGGUAACAGCACUUCGGUGGCUGACGAGUGGCGAACGGGUGAGUAAUACAUCGGAACGUGCCCGAGAGUGGGGGAUAACGCAGCGAAAGCUGUGCUAAUACCGCAUACGAUCUACGGAUGAAAGCAGGGGACCGCAAGGCCUUGCGCUCAUGGAGCGGCCGAUGGCAGAUUAGGUAGUUGGUGGGAUAAAAGCUUACCAAGCCGACGAUCUGUAGCUGGUCUGAGAGGACGACCAGCCACACUGGGACUGAGACACGGCCCAGACUCCUACGGGAGGCAGCAGUGGGGAAUUUUGGACAAUGGGCGAAAGCCCGAUCCAGCCAUGCCGCGUGCAGGAUGAAGGCCUUCGGGUUGUAAACUGCUUUGUACGGAACGAAAAGGUCUUUUCUAAUAAAGAAGGCUCAUGACGGUACCGUAAGAAUAAGCACCGGCUAACUACGUG
rnacentral:rRNA from 1 species